AGCGCAGGCGGGAAGACAAGUUGGAAGUGAAAUCUAUGGGCUCAACCCAUAAACUGCUUUCAAAACUGUUUUUCUUGAGUAGUGCAGAGGUAGGCGGAAUUCCCGGUGUAGCGGUGGAAUGCGUAGAUAUCGGGAGGAACACCAGUGGCGAAGGCGGCCUGCUGGGCACCAACUGACGCUGAGGCUCGAAAGUGUGGGUAGCAAACA
rnacentral:rRNA from 1 species